AUACAAACACAUAACAUAUAUACUGCCAGGCUAUUCUGGGGUGCCUGACUACCCGGUACGGCCAUUCUGGGGUGCCGUCCUACCCGUGUCAAGCCAUUCUGGGGUGCUGACUACCCAUGUCAAGCCAUUCUGGGGUGCUGACUACCCGUCGGUCCUAACAACCGACCACAGGGACUGGUCCCCUCAUACUACCUCUACCGCAUAAAACAUAACAAGCCAGCAUGCAAACAUAUAAUCAUAAACUGUCAGACGUAUCUGGGGUGUCUGACUACCCUUCGGUCCUAACAACCGAACUCGACUACUAUCACAUACAGCAUAUCAUGCUAGCAUAUAACAUGUCAGGUACUAGCGAACUUAGAUGAUAUCACAAAGACAAUCAUCUAUCAUACAACUCCUACUGGUGGGUCGGCAUUGUGGCCUUAGACCCACCGCUACUGGAAGGUAACUCACCUCAAAGUAGCUGCUGAACUGAUCGGGAACUAACUGACUGCUGCUGCUCCGGGAGUCCUCCGGCUGCAAUUUCCACGACAUACUCAAUCAAACACUGCUAACUGUCCUUUAGGUAAAAUGACCAUUUUACCCCUGGAUUAACUCUAAGCCAAAGCUGGAGUCAACUUUCAGUUGACCCGACUCGCCGAGUGGAUCACCACUCGCCGAGUCCCUAGCAAACCAAUGUCCUGGGUCCCUGGUUCUACUCGUCGAGUCGGGCUAUGACUCGACGAGUUCACCUUCUAACUGCCAUUCAACACCUUCAUCCUACUCGCCGAGUUGUAUGAACAACUCGUCGAGUUCAUCUUCAUCCGAUGAACACUUUAUGCUAAGACUCGCCGAGUUGUAUGAACAACUCGCCGAGUCUGUUCUUGAGCUAUGAAGAUUGCCUUGGACUCGCCGAGUCAGGGCAUUGACUCGCCGAGUCCUAACAUGGGUGAGUUCAGCUCCCAACUCACCGAGUCACCCCCUGUGACUCAAGGCUCAACUCGACACAUGAAGAAGGGACCAAUUCGGUGACUCGCGACCAGACUCGCCGAGUCACCUAUGCGACUCGCCGAGUCGUCGCCAUGCACUCCUUAAAUAUACCGAUUUGCUCGGUUCCAGACCAUGCCAUUCAUAGAUCUGGACUUCUAGGACACGAAUCACACGUAAAGUUUCCAACUUUACGUGUGGAUAUUCACCAAUAUGGAUUAUAAGGCUCAAAAUGUCUCAAAAUGGUAGAUCUAGGGCUAACAAGCCUCAUGAGGCCAAAAAGCUAACAGAUCUGAGCUCCUGGAGCUCAAUCUUACAUAGAUCCAAAGGCCAAACGCCUUAUUACAACAUAUAAUGAACAUGCAAACUUGGGGAAUUGACCAAGAAGGACCCAAAUGAAGUUUUAAGCAUAGAAUCAAGGGGAAAACGGGUUAUACCUCAAAGGAAAUGUUGAAAUGACACAAGGAUGGCUGAUCUCCUUCUCCUCUUCUUGAUCUACUCCUCUUACUCUUCAAAACCUUCAAGAACACACCAAGAACACCUCAAACUCUCAAGGAAACAAGGGAAAACGAUGUAGGGGGAGUUCUGGGGGUGAAUGGGGACGAGUUGGGGCGGAAUGAGGGUUUAAAUAGGGUGCAAACCCUUGAAACUUAGGGUUUCAUCCCGCAGCGGUGACUCGCCGAGUCCAGGAUAUGGACUCGUCGAGUCGCCUACUUAAAACGCGUCCUGAGUCUCGUCCCUACUCGGCGAGUCGGACCCUAUGACUCGCCGAGUCUAAGGCUAAAUUAGGGCAAUGCUCAAAUAAAAUUCACAUACCGGAAACCAGGUGCUACAAAUCUCCCCCACUUAUUUUAGACUUCGUCCUCGAAGUCUGCUGCCUGAUCCUGAAACAGCUCGGGGUAGUGCUCCAUCAUCUCGUCUACCGGCUCCCAAGUCCACUCUGAACCCUUGCGGUGCUGCCAUUGCACCUUCACUAGCUCCACCCUCUUGUUCCUUAAAUCCUUCGACUUCCUGUCGAGGAUUGCGACUGGGCGCUCGAUGUAGUUCAGGCUGUCAUCAACCUGAAUAUCCUCCAAAGGUACUACUGCAGAAUCGUCCACUAGGCACUUCCGCAACUGCGAAACAUGGAAAGUGCUGUGGAUCUGGCUAAGCUCGGCUGGCAGAUCCAGCCUAUAUGCUACCUUGCCCACCCGGGCUAAGACCCUGAACGGUCCGAUGAAUCGCGGGCCCAACUUGCCCCGCUUCCUGAAUCGGAUGACGCCUUUCCACGGUGACACCUUCAGGAGGACCAUAUCCCCGACCUGGAACUCUAAAUCGGAUCGACGCUUGUCGGCAUAACUUUUCUGUCGACUCUGAGCAGUCUGAAGCCUGCUCCGGACCUGCUGUAUCCUCUCAGUCGUCUUGAGCACCACUUCGGUGCUUCCCAUAACUCUCUGGCCAACCUCACCCCAGCAUAUCGGGGUCCUACACCUCCGUCCGUACAACAUCUCGAAGGGAGGGCGGUCGAUACUCGCGUGAUAGCUGUUGUUGUAGGAGAACUCAGCCAAAGGAAGAUAGGUAUCCCAGCUACCACCGAAAUCCAGAACACACGCCCGCAACAUGUCCUCCAAAGUCUGGAUGGUCCGCUCACUCUGUCCAUCUGUCUGCGGGUGAAAGGCGGUGCUGAAAUGCAGACGAGUGCCCAACUCGUCAUGGAAUCUCUUCCAAAACCUGGAAGUAAAACGCACAUCCCUGUCCGAGAUCACCGAUACUGGCACCCCAUGCCGUGCCACAAUCUCCCUGAUAUAGAUGUCGGCCAAUUUCUCGGCCGAUAUGCUCUCCGGAAUCGGAAUAAAGUGAGCACUCUUGGUCAAUCUAUCCACGAUGACCCAAAUCGAAUCCACUCCACGCGCGGUCCUGGGAAGCUUCGUGAUAAAAUCCAUCGUGAUAUCUUCCCACUUCCACAGUGGAAUGUCCAACGGCUGCAUCUUGCCAUGCGGCCUCUGAUGUUCGGCCUUGACCUUCCUGCAGGUCAAGCACCGCUCGACGUACCAUGCCACAUCCCGCUUCAUGCAGGGCCACCAAUAGUCUAGACGAAGAUCCCUAUACAUCUUCGUCGCCCCGGGAUGAAUAGAGAAUCGGGACUUGUGCGCCUCCUCCAUCAAAAUCUGGCGCACGCCCCCGUGAUACGGCACCCACACCCUAUGGUGUAGUGUCAAUAACCCUCGGCUAUCAUAAUCGAAGGAGGAAACCUGACCUACUACGCGCUCGUUCUUCCGAUGCUCCUCCUUGAUAGCCUCCUGUUGAGCUUCCCGAAUCUGCUCCAACAGGGGAGUCACCACAGUCAUCCUCAAACAGGCGUCCCUGAUCGGCGCCGUCUUGCGGCUAAGCGCAUCGGCCACCACAUUGGCCUUUCCCGGGUGGUAAAGGAUCUCGCAAUCAUAAUCCUUCACCACAUCCAACCACCGACGCUGCCUCAUGUUCAGAUUCGGCUGGUCCAUGAGGUACCUCAAGCUCUUGUGGUCCGUGUAGAUGGUACACCGAACCCCAUAGAGGUAAUGUCGCCAAAUCUUGAGGGCAAAUACCACCGCCCCCAACUCCAAAUCGUGCGUCGGGUAGUUCGCCUCGUGAGGCUUGAGCUGCCUCGAAGCGUAAGCAAUGACAUGCCCCCUUUGCAUCAGCACCGCGCCCAACCCAGAAAUGGACGCAUCGCAAUAAACCACGAAAUCCUCUACGCCCUCUGGCAGGGCUAAGAUCGGCGCCUCACACAAUCUCUGUCUCAGCGUCUCAAAUGCAGCCUGCUGCUCGGGUCCCCACCGAAAGACCACGGCUUUCUUCGUCAGCCGCGUCAGGGGCACGGCUAUCUUGGAGAAAUCCUGGAUAAAUCUCCGAUAGUAGCCUGCCAAUCCUAGGAAGCUCCGAAUCUCAGAUGGGGACUUCGGAACCUCCCAUCUCAUCACGGCCUCGACCUUGGCCGGAUCGACCAGAAUCCCGUUCUGGUUGACGAGGUGCCCCAGAAAUUGCACCUCGCGCAACCAAAACUCACACUUGGAGAACUUGGCAUACAAGCUCUCCCUCCUCAGGGUCUCUAACACCUCUCUCAAAUGCUCCUCAUGUUCCUCCCGGGUCUUGGAAUAAACCAAGAUAUCAUCGAUAAAGACUAUCACAGACCGGUCCAGCAUCGGUCUGCAUACACGGUUCAUGAGGUCCAUGAACGCGGCAGGAGCAUUGGUGAGCCCAAACGGCAUCACCACAAACUCGUAAUGGCCAUAGCGCGUCCGAAACGCGGUCUUCUGCAUAUCCUCCUCCCUGACCCUCAUCUGAUGAUAACCCGAACGCAAAUCAAUCUUGGAGAACCAAGAUGCGCCCUGAAGCUGGUCAAAGAGGUCAUCAAUCCUCGGAAGCGGGUAACGGUUCUUCACCGUUACCUUGUUCAGCUCCCGAUAAUCUAUACACAUCCGAUGCGACCCAUCCUUCUUCUUCACAAACAGAAUCGGGGCUCCCCAGGGCGAACUGCUCGGCCGAAUAAAUCCCUUGUCCAGCAGCUCCUGCAGCUGCGUAGACAACUCCUGCAUCUCGGGAGGAGCCAACCGAUACGGUGCUUUGGCUAUCGGAGCCGCACCGGGAACGAGGUCAAUCCUGAACUCCACCUGUCGCUCCGGAGGUAUCCCAGGUAGUUCCUCCGGAAAAACAUCAGCAAAAUCUCGAACCACCGGGACCUCGCUCACGGUCGCCUUACCCGCCUCCCGGGUGUCCAUCACGUACGCGACAUAACCCGCGCAUCCCUGCUGAAGGUAGCGCCUAGCCCUCGCUGCUGAACAUACAGUGGGUCCACACUGCGGCCGCUCUCCAUGAAUCACUAACUCUCCCCCGCUUGGGGUCUUGACUCGCACUAGCUGCUGUGCGCAAUCUAUCACUGCCCCAUUAGGGCUCAACCAAUCCAUACCAAUAAUCACCUUGUUCCCACGCAAUGGAAUGGGAACCAAGUCUACCAGGUAACACUCCUCAAACAGUCGCAGGACACAAUCUCGAAACACCAUCGAUGCUCGCACCGAUCGAUCAUCGGCAAUCUCUACCUCUAACGGGCAAUCUAACUCGCCUGAAGUCUCAUGAAAUCUCUUGCUAAGAGCAAGAGAAACGAACGAUCGGGAUGCACCCGAGUCGAACAAUACCUGAACCGGGAUGCCGUUCACAUGGAACGAUCCUAAUACACAUGUAUACACACGGAGCACAUAUCAAUAUCAUAACAACGUAAAAUAAAAGAUAGAAGGAAGGAAUCAUACCCGUCACCACAUCGGGCGCGGCGCGUGCCUCCUCGGCAGUCAACUGAAAUGCCCGACUCCUCACCACUGGAGCCUCUGCCUUGCCCUGACGGCCAUCCGUGAUCCGCAGGGUCGCUGGAGCUGGCGCCUUCACUGGCGCUGAAGCUGUCAACAUGGGGCAAUUGGCCUUCUUGUGGCCCCUCUGGUUGCAGUGGAAACACAGCAACUCCGAUGUCUGAAUAACGGUCGCAGGAGCAGUGCAAUCCCUGCUGAUAUGCCCAAACUUGCCGCACUUGUAGCAGCCUGACGAUCCCAUCCUGCACGCCCCCUCGUGCGGCCUGCCGCACCUCCUGCAGCGGCUCGGUCCCGACUGGCCUUUCGGCCUCCCAUCUGAUCCCUUGGGCUUCUUCCCCGAAGCCCCCGAUGACUGACCAUCCUCAAGUUUCCGUUUCCGGAUGUGCUCCAAAUCUAUCUCUCUCUCCCUAGCCCUGGCAAUCAUGGAGUCCAGGGUAGGGCAAGCCGAAAAACUAACAUGCUCCCGAAUGUCAGCUCGUAGCAUAUCAUGGUAACGAGUCCUCCUCAUAUCCUCGUCACCUGCAUACUGGGGCACCAAUAAAGCCCUCUCCCGAAACUUGGCGGUGAUCUCCGCCACGGUCUCUGUCGUCUGCCUCAUGUCUAAGAACUCCCUGGCCAGCUGCUGAAGCUCGACCGCUGGCGCAAACUCUGCCCUGAACCUAGCCACAAAGUCCGACCAGGUCAUUGCCUCGAUAGCCGAGGCUCCCAUCGAGUCACCCACUGACUCCCACCAAUCUCGGGCCCGGUCCCGUAAACACCCUGCUGCGUACCUCACCUUCGACCCCUCGGGGCAGAAGCUGAUCAACUGGGCGGACUCGAUAUCCGCAAUCCACCGCCUGGCGACAAUGGGGUCCUUCACCCCAUGGAAAUCCGGCGCACCACUGCUCCUGAAGUCCUUGAAGGACAGUGUGCGAGAUCCUGACUGGCUAGAGGCCAAGUCGCUCCUGAAUGCCCGUAGGCGAUCCUCCAUCAUCUCCACGAUCCCUUCCUUGAUCGACCCAAAGAUGAUGGGGGUCGACUCAAGGAUGCCCCUAGUGAUCUCCGACGUGAUGAACUCACGUAGCCUCUCCUCAAUCGGCUCGGUGCCAGAUCCCGAACCUGACCCCUCUCCUGACCCGCCAUCUGUCGGUCUCGGUCGAAGUACCACCAUUCUGCAAAACAUCAAUAAUAAUCAUUAGUGGUACUGCUACUUUCUGAGGGAUCUCAACUACUUACAGGUUCCUUGGUCUCGUCUUGGCCUUCCUCGGCUCGGGUACGGAUCCUCUGCUUUCAGUAGUACGGGCCCAUACUACCUUCCACAUCUAUCCGUACCUUCUCCGAGGAAUUCCUCGACUCCACCAACUCCCCUCUACUACUGCUACUCUCCGAUAUUCUCACCCUAGGCUUGCCCUAGGGAGAACUCAAGUUCAACACAACUGGUCCUCAGCUGCUGUAGGUCUCCUCAUAAUGCCAGUUAGCCACCACCUAAACACCACCACCUGUGAUGAGGAUUAGAUCAUCCUUCAAGUAAAAGGCCCGUCCCUACAACGGUUGGACUCAAACAAGAGCUGCGCAAUAGGGCCAGUUCCAACACUUUGGGAUUAUUCAACCCCGAUUACAUGUGGUGUGACGUGUUUACCUAGUGGCUCACUCCCAUUACUCAGAAUCCCACCGAGCACGAAGCAAGCAGCAUUCGGAUAAGGAAAAACAGACUCAAGCCAAAACUGUUCUUAGAACAAGAAACGACACUUAACAUAGGAUGCUAAGCUCAUACUAUCAGGCAUAACCUAAACAGGCUACCCUACUGCUGUCUACUCAAUUCUAGCAUGCAAUAUUCAAUAAGCUGUAACAAAUAAACAGGCACAUAAGGCAUCACUCCUAGAUCCUUAGCCUAUUCUAGCAUGCAAUAUUCAUAAAGCUGAUAAACAUAACAUAAACUUGUAUGGGUACUAUGGGGAAUACUUACUUGAGCUCGGCCGGUCGCGCACGUCACACACUUUACUCUUUCUCGUGACUCUUUUCCGGGUUUUAAAGAAUAAUUUCUUUUGGAAAAAUCUUUCAAUCCCUCGGUUUGAGUCCAAACACUCCCGAAGGCGUGUCCGAAUCCCUCAAACCAGGGCUCUGAUACCAACUUGUAACGACCCAAAUUUUUUUUUUUUUUUGAUAUUACUUUAGAAAACAUUAAUAAAUAAAAACAUUGUCUAAAUAAAAAGAAACAUUGUUUGUUCACACCAUAACACAUUGCAACCAUGUUCUCAAAAGCCAAACCGUACAUCCCAUCAAAUAUCAGAGUACAAUCCCAGUAAAUCUCAUAAAUGCGGAAACCGAAGAGUGUGUGUAUGACGUGCCGCUACCGCGCCGGCUCCUUCCCCUUCGAUGCAGAGGUACCUGAAAACAAAACUGUAAACGUAAGCACAAAGCUUAGUGAGUUCCCCCAACGUACCGCAUACCAUACAAACACAUAACAUAUAUACUGCCAGGCUAUUCUGGGGUGCCUGACUACCCGGUACGGCCAUUCUGGGGUGCCGACCUACCCAUACGGCCAUUCUGGGGUGCCGUCUUACCCGUGUCAAGCCAUUCUGGGGUGCUGACUACCCAUCGGUCCUAACAACCGAUCCUCGGGGACUAUUUCACCCCUACUACUACGAUCACAUAUAACAUAACAAGCCAGCAUGCAUACAUAUCGUCACAUACUGUCAGACGUAUCUGGGGUGUCUGACUACCCUUCGGUCCGAACAACCAAACUCUACUACUAUCACAUACAGCAUAUCAUGCUAGCAUAUAACAUGUCAGGUACUAGCGAACUUAGAUGAUAUCACAAAGACAAUCAUCUAUCAUACAACUCCUACUGGUGGG
rnacentral:lncRNA from 1 species